rnacentral:rRNA from 1 species
GGAUUGUAGGCUGAAACUCGCCUACAUGAAGCUGGAAUUGCUAGUAAUCACAGGUCAGCAUACUGUGGUGAAUACGUUCCCGGGCCUUGUACACACCGCCCGUCACACCAUGAGAGUUGAGAAUACCCGAAGCCCAUGUCAAAGUGGUCGAAGGUAGGCUUGAUGAUUGGGGUGAAGUCGUAACAAGGUAUC